GAUGCAGCUGAUUUUUAAGACACUGAUACUCUGGCAUGGUAAACACCACAGUAGCGCCAAUGAGGCAGUGCGGCAGUAGACUCUGCACAUUGAUUAGAUGCACCGAGGCCAUUCCAUGAAAGGUGGCAGAUUCCGCAAGCAAAAAUAAUUUUAGCAAAAGCAUUUUUUUACGAGGGAUUCUUGAGGAAAUUUCCAGUGAAGAGAGAGACCCAUUUUCCUGGGCAAUCUAUAAACUGGUUCAAUGGGUGUUAAGAUACAAUGGCCUCAUCAUGAAAAUUGUCUUUACUACAUUUAGUCUCUGGAAAAAUGGACAGGAAAUGAUAAUGUAAGAAUAAAACCAACAAAGGCAAUGAAAUAAACUCAUUGCCCAGAUUUUGGACUGGUUUUUUAAUAGCAAUUGGGUUUAUCCUCCAUUUUAAAGGACCAACCGGUACUUUGUGAAAUCAUACCUGAAGAUCAUUCUGUUUAAUGAUCGAAUAUCCUGUAUCUCCUGUACUUGAAAUUUCUGACACUUCAAGGUCAAAAUUAAUUUUGCCAGGGCGUAUUUACAUCAAAUAAAAGGAACUUGCAUGACCCACCACCUGAGGAUCAGAUCUCUAUGACCUGGAUCUUUGAGACUGAGUCUUGUGGGAAAAUGAUACAAAAGAAGAUUGCCUUUGAUGUGAGGCCCCAUGCCAAGUUUUCUUCAUCAUUUAUAUACUCUAGUAAAACUCUAGGACCUUGAGCUUUGGGUCUUAUACUUUCAACUCAAGGGGGACCCUCCACACUUUUGGAACUGAAUCCCAGUGGGGAAUCUUAAUUUACAGUUGACCAUGGAGAUCACUCCUCUGAAUCAGAUGCUCUCCUGAAUACAGAUGGUUUUCCCAAGGUCACAGGUCAAGAUUCUCUUCUUCUCAUCAUGAAAUCCCUGUUCUUUGAUCCCUGUUUCUUCUUUCUAGUGUGAAUGGUCUGAUAAUGAGAAAUUAGAAUGCCCUAGCAAAAGACUUUGUGGAGAAUCUAACCAAAUAUUGGAUUAACCAUAUGAAAUCUAGCUCUUCCUAUGGUAUUAGAGACUUUUUAGUAUGAGUUGUGACUGAGUUUACCAGAAUCCUAAGUGUGAUCAUCUGCUUUUGACUUUACAGUUGGUUCUGACUAUAAAAUUAAGCUUUUACACCCACUUUUUUUUGUUUUAAUCUAACACAUUGAUAUACUGGGAUGACCAGAUCGACUUAUGGUAUUGAAUGGAGACUAGGUAGCAAAGUGUGCUUAAAUACAGAUUUUUGCAAGGAUGCUUACCUAUCUAUCCAUUUUGGCAGAAGACCAAUAUGUAAUAACUCAAUAUCAUUUUUAGGAGGUGGUUAGAAAAACCAAUGCCUCUGUUUCAACUAAUUCUUCCAUAAAUAAAAAAAAUCACUCUAGUGGGAUUCUUGUAUGAAUCCCCCAAAUAUAAUCUUUUUGCUCUCAACUACAACUCAAAGAAUGGAGAAUGAAAGGCUACAGAAGACUAGGAAUUUUGAUAGUGCCAUUGGUGUUCUAUAACCAGUGACAAGAUUUGCAUUAGUCCAUACCCCUAAACCUACAUUCUAGAUCAAAAGAAGCUGACCCACAAAUGCUAACCCUGCUGGAUAGCUAACUUAUACUAAGUCACUUCUCAUGGGCUAAAGUUGAAUAUAAGUGAAAUGAUGAUUAGAGAUUUCCUUUUGACAUUAGCCACUGUGACUGGUCCUACAUCUCAGGCUAUCACUACCAAAUGCAAAUCUAAAUUUCCCCUUUCUCAAAUAGCCUUAGAAGGAUUAUGAUAUACUACAGGGCCAAGAAGGACGAGUUUGUAUAUUUACAUCUCUUCCUGGUGUCCCUAGACAGACACUUCUGAUAUGUAGAAAUGUAGUUAACAGUUAAGUUGCAUAAACCGGAAUGGCUCCCCUCUGAUGCAUUCCUGGAUUGUUUGAUUUUCACUGGUUUGGUUCAUGGGACCCUGGCUAAGCAGCGCAUACAGUUCUUUUGUAUCACCAUCCUUUUAAACAUCACUGUAAUCUCCCCGGUGGAUUGUAUUGUCUCAAGAAUCUUAAUUGCAUGUUCACAGCCACCAACGGCACACCAGAUGGCUUCACUGUGAUUAAAGAGACAAAUGACAAAUGAGGGAACAAGGAAAAAAAAAGAUCGUUCUCCAAUGAGCCGGAUGUUGUGACUUUCAUGUCUGUUCUGAGACAAACAGUCAAACUAUGAUGGCCACAUGGAAUAUUGCUUACACAUAGGCUUUUUCUAAUCUCUCCUAAAAGGGUUAGUAUAAUUAAAAACAGCAAGAAAGCAAGAGAUUGAGGGAGCAAGACUGAGAGAGAGGGAUAGGAAACAGAGAGAGAGAGAGACAGACAGAGACAGAGACAGAGACAGAAACAAAGACAGAGAGACAGAGGCAGAGAGAGACAGAGAGAGAGAGAGAAAGAGAGACAGAGAGACAGAGACAUAGAGACAGAGAGACAGAGAGACAGGGAGAGAGAGAGACAGAGAGAGAGACAGAGACAGAGAGACAGAGAGACAGAGAGACAGAGAAACAGAAAGACAGAAACAGAGAGUUACCAUCCAAGUGUGUUUUGUAUUCAUCCAGGUUGCUGCAACAGAGCAUGUAGGUCCAGUCUCUAUCAGAGUAAGACCUUGUUCGAGAAAG